UACGAGUACUCGCUAAUGGCGGACGGUGGAGGUGGUGUUCCUGUCGCAUUUGUGAUUUCACACUAAAUAGGAAGGAAUCGGCGCUGGAUUGUUACACAACUGUUGCACCAGUGAAGGAUGUCUGUGUGCCGCCUUGCAUUCAGUUUCUCAGUCAUGGGGGCCUGCUUGCAACACCAGUGGCAAAGCAGUCUUGCAUUGUGCUAUUUGUUCUGGAAGUACACAAGCAUUGAGGAGCCAUUUGACCUGCCACUACACUGAUACGGUAUUUGGUAGGUUCUAUUACAGGUUUUCUUUCGUGUAGUAGUACCUGCUAUAAUUCUGUAUAACGUGUUCAGACCUUUAGUCAGCAGGCUGUUUGACAACAGGUGUUUACAAAUGAAUAACUAACAAGAUUUUCAAGGUCAUUAGUGAUGCAAUCGUUGCACACUGCUGCAUUUUUCUGC